GGAGAUCACUGAAUUAAUUCAUGUGUGUAAUCCAUAGGAAGACAGGGAUUGAGUUCUUUUCGCCGUGCAGCGUAUAAAAAUUGGACUCCAGUGUGAAUCCCAGUGCUGGUUUUCCUGAAUAAAAGCCUGUCUUGUUCCUAAGGAUUUGGGCUCGUCAGAUUAACACGGCACGGUGCACUUUUCUCUCUGACUGUACAUUUAAAUAUGAUGAACCUAUUUGAUAAAUAACCCGUACAAAGGUUUUGUUAUAUUAAAAACAGCUAAAUACGACUCCUGAUCGAAUAUCAGCCCCGUAAUUGAAUCUCGGGGGUUCUGGUGCUGUUCAUAAAGCAUUUGAGUUGUUCUGUGCUUCGUGACGUCAGCCAAAAGCCUGAUUGAAUUAUGUCCUGCAUUGUGGGAGCACCUGCCAGUGCCACUAGACUGAAGGGGCUGUCAGCAUUUCCAUUACAAACCUCUCUGAUAAGUUGGGGACUUGGCUCCGGGCGCGGCGCUGGGCUGAAUGCGGCCGUGGGAGCCUCCAGGCUGGCAGCAAACACAACAAAACCGCGCCGCUUCUCCCUGCUAUGCAGUGUGCUCCCGGGGUGCAGCUCCCGAGGUCUGGCGGGGCCGACGUGCCGCUGUGUUGCAUUAUUUCUGGCUUUUCCCGGGUCUGUGUUUGUGGUUACUGGGGCUGCACGUGGUGGUUGACGCUGAAAGUCACAGCAAGUGCUCGGUGCCCUGAUGCUGCGUUGGGAAUAAGCACUCCUUAUCUCAACGGAGCCCUCAGCUCCGUUUGGCCUCAAACCUGAUUUCAUGCAGUGGAUAUUUGGAGGGAAGGGCAGGAAUGAGGCAGAUUUGGAUGGGAAGCAAGUGGCGUUCAUUGCUGGUCGGCUUCUGGACCUGUGAGCGCAGCCCGUCCCUCGCCCUCCCCACCUCUCCAGGAUCACCUCCCGUGCUGCAGGACCUCGAUGAGAGCCCGUUUCACGUAGGACAGCAUCGAUCCCAUCCGCCCGAAACUCAGAGCGUGCUGAUGCAGCCUUUGCAGCACUGUGCAGCCGAGGCUGUGAGCGCUCGCUCCGUGCAGAGCUGCACCAAACCCCCGUGUGUGACUCGGUCUGACUUCAAAACGUGAUUCCGCCUUUCAGGCCUGGGAUGCUUUUUCUGUGCUGCCUGUUUGUGGCGGAGGGGUGAAGGGGAAGCGGAAGCGAGGAUUUGGAAAAUAGGUUUUCCUGAUCUUUUCUGGGUCACGUGAUUUCGGAUGUGCCCUUGCUGUCCGGCGUGCUGUUUGUUUGUCAUUCUGCAUGCGGAGCAGGGGUGUGGGUUUGCUGCUCAGGCCUCUGCUCUCAUUUUUUUGGGACCACUUUUGCUCUUUUUACUUGUCUGGCCUCUCCUGAGCCAACUUUGUGGCAUUGUAUCUUGCCUGAUGCUGUCCUUCAGGAAAGAUUACCAGUUAAGUCCUGAUUAGAGACAAGAUCAUUAUUCUGCAGGAUCAGAGUCGUUAGCAAAUGCGUUUCUUAACUUUUGUUUUCUGUGUCUAAUCGCUUUGUUGACUUAAUAUUCUUUGGUAAGAUUUACUUGCUUAGGAAAUACUGUGUCCUGUUGUACAAACAGGAAAAUUCUCGUUCCUGAAAUGAGAUAUUUCGUAAACAUCAGGAAUGGGAGCACUUAAUGUAUGAACUUGCUUAUUAACUAAUGGACAUUGUCUUUUUUCCCUCUCCUGAUUCUCUCAUUAAUAGUCCAUCCUUUUUUCUUCUCUGUCUUUAAACCCAGUCAGCUAAUUGGCUCUGGUGGCAGGGCCGUGGUGAGGGUGCUUUGGAUUCGUGCUCGUGGUGAGGUUUGGUUCAGUGCUUCGGGCAGUGCUGAUGCUCCUUGGCAUCUGCCUGCCCGUGUCUGCAGCGUACGUGAUGCUGAAAACACGUUGGUACCCAAUUAGGAGGUUAACGGGGCAGAAUGAUGGAUCAGCAGACGGCGAGCACCCAGCCCGGAGCCGAGCCCAGGUUACUGCAGCGGGACUGGGUCAGCACCACGGUCACUCCUUACCUCCCUGUGCAGCCCAGUGCCCAGAUGUGUGGCAGUUCGCUGUCUGUCUUUCUUCCCUGUUACUGGCUUGCUUUUAAUCUUUCGUCAGACUCGUGAAUGCAAGCUCUGUAGGACAGAAAAAACACUGCAGUUCAUUAAACCUUCAUUAUCUGAGCACUGUAGGGCAAGAUGUAGUCUUUUUGCAGCACAAAUCCAGGAUAGAGAGCUUUUCCGCUGCACUCUGGAGUGUGAAAUGGGGCAUGGGGGAACGCUCUCCAGAACAUGAGGACUCUCCAAAGUCCAGAAAAUGAACGCCAUUGGACCACAUUGCUGUCUGGGUCGGUCUGUACAGCCUCUGGAGCCUGUGUUCCCACAUCCUCCUCUUUUAUUCCAUGUUUCCCUGUUUGGGGCUCAGAAGAGAUGAUCUAUUUCCAGUUUGGAAGUGAAGACAAGAGGAGUGGAGGAAGGAACUGAUAACACUGUAAUCUGAGCCUUGACUAGAAAACAAGGUGACAACCCCGUCUGUGGCAGAGAGAUUUGAUCUGGGUGAUCGUCAAGGUCCCUUCCAACCUAAGCCAUUCUAUGAUUCUGUGAUUAGUGUGUGCAUUAUAGUGCCCAUCACACUCACAUUAUCUCAGCACUAGGAGAAGACAGCAUUUGUUAUACCGAAAAUAUGACAUCUUAACCUUUGGGGAAGAUGUGUCUGAGUUUUAAUGUGUUCUUAAAUGUAAAAAAUCUUCUCCGUCCUUGCCAUUGGGCGAAAUUGAGAUGUGUUCGAAAACAGGGCUGCGUCUAAUGCCACGCGUAAUGGAGAAUUACUAUUUUCUUAAUCCAAAAUGGAAAGAGCUUAAAUAGAAAGUGUGGGAUUAUAAAAGAAGCAGCUUUAUUCUCUUUAAUAUAAAGUUGUUUUUUCCUAUUCAGCUCAGUCCUAUCCCCACGGCUGGAAGGAAUAGACUUUGGGUGGCCUCUUCAGGGCGCUGGCUUGGGGUGGCUGUUGCAGACACUCUCUUUUCAUGCUGGCUAACGAGGGCUCGGUGGACAGACGCCUGCUUUGUAGGUGGCUGAGCUCAAAUGAGAUGCAUCCGAUCUUGAAGAUCGCCUGCGUCUGUGAGAAUCCUUUUUUUUUUUUCUUUUUUUUUUAUUAAACACAAAAUCCUUCACUCUUACGUCCGAAGAAUCAAGGGCUCGCAUCGCUUAGACUUGAAAGCUGUCCUCUCGCUGCAGUGUUUGACGGGAUUGUUUACGUAUUUAUUGUGUUUAUUAAAGACUGCCGCUGCGCUUGGUGCUGUGUGUGCUGGGGGGCUGGUGGGCUGCAGUUGCCCUGGAUGUGUGUCAGCAGCUCCCUAAGGAUGGGGCUGAGGUGCAGGAGGGGAGAUGUCCCUGCGUUGCCGCUUUAUCUGUUCGAGCGGUGUGUCCUACCAAUGGCCUCCCUGCGAGGCUGUUCCCAAUGGCAGGCCAUGGGUGCACACCUCCAUUAGAAGCAUCUUUUGAUUUUAUUCCAACUCGGUGACUAAUAGCAGCAGCUUCCAAAUGGUUGUUCCAGGACUUCAGAUUCAGUCUAAGUUCUGCCUUAAGGUGGGUUUGCUUACAUACAAGAGCUGUUUUGCGCUCCUGCGUUCAUUGUAGCAGCUGCAAAUUAUUUUCAGGCUGGAAAGGGUUUUGAUCUUUUUCGAAUUUAAUCGGUUUCCUGAGAGGACUUCAAGGAAGAGCACCUCAUGUAGUGAUGGGUGGAACUGGGAAAGUUCCUCGUAGCCCAUCAUCAGAAAUUCUGGCCAUUGCUGCCUCGUGCUGGAUUCCUGAGCGCUGCUGAAACCGCGUUUCCAGGGAAUGUUCACACUUCUUGAGUCUGGCUCCUGCUUAUUAGAAGCAGCUAAUUAAUAAAUGUGAGGAAGUUAAACAACUGAUGGGGAAACGUUUUCUGGGCGUUGUGGCUUGGUAACCCUGUCUCUCUUUUGAGUAAGAGGAAGAUAACAGAUAACACGCGGAAGGAAGUGGUGGGGGGUUUACAUAACCUGCCAGCUCCGCAACUGGAAUAAAUCAGCGUAAUUCUGCCAGCACCCCCAGAGUUUUGCCGUGUUACCCAAGGAUCGAGCAUUCUUCUGGGGAGCUCUUAGGCUGCAGUCUGACAUGUCUGCGUUCUGGUUGGGGCAGUGGGGAGCGUCGUUGCUUUCUGGGAGGAGGACGUGCCAGCUCUUCUGCUUGUGACGAUGCCGCCCUGUACUCAUCCUUUUUAUCUUUCAUUGUAAAAUUAAAGUACACAUUUCCUGGUUGCUUAUUUGGCUGAAGCCUCCUUCAAGAGCACAUUCAAUAAUUUGUCUUAUUCAUCUCCUCAUCAUGCUCAUGGUUAUGUUACAUUCACCUACAGUAAGGAUUCAGUGAGAGAGGAAGAAUGAAUAUGGAUGAAUCAAUGAGUACAAGUGCUGUAAGUGAUUUUUAGAGCUGCUCGUAUUCAGUUUGACAGUCUCAGAUGGAAGACUGUCAAGAUCAGGCCCAUGUUUUGAAUCGUCAAGUGCACUUUACGUGCUUCUCCCCCUGAGCUGGAACCCAGACUUUGGGAUGUUGAAAGCAAUGGGAAUUUUCCUGCUGACUUCCCUGUGAGAAGCACUGGGCUCUUUGUCUGCCUGUGUUCUGCAGAUUUGUACAUUCCAUUGCCCUACCUACUCCUGAUAAUGAAGGAAAUAGGUGCAGGAGUGGAAAAGCGAGAUCCAAAUUGGCGGGCCUGGAGAAGGAGAGCUCAGUUUGUUUAUUUGCUCUUUCGGGCUUGCCCAGAAGAAUUAUUUUCUCACGUACUCUGCUUUAGACGUUGCUGUUUGAUGGGACUGGAACAACCUGUACGCAAGUUGUUUCCUGCCAGUGUUUUAAAGUGAUGUAGAAACGUUGUUUCUCUACCAGCUUCACAUCAAUUUGCAAAGAAAACUUCCCUUUAGAAAAAAACACACUGCCACUCUAAUAGCUGAUGUGUGCUUUCUAUUUCCUUGUCCUACUGUUUGGGUUACAAACAUAUUUAAAAAAAUAUAUUCACAUACACAACAUUAUUAUGAUUUGGCUUAAGCAUCUGUGGUUAUAAGUGCACUUCAUUUCACCUAAUUAAGUUAUUUAGUCAUUUACACAUUAGCAAUGUACUACAUAUUCCACUUUUACAGGAACUUAUUUUAAUUAUACCCACAGUUCUGUUCUGCUCCAUUAUAGCCAUAGAUCAAGCUGAAUAAUAACCAUUCUAAAAGCCAUAUGCUAAAAGAGAUUAUGGGUCAUUAAGGCCAAAUUAAGGUAACAUUUCUGAUGGUCACAAACAGAAGUCUAACCAACAAUUAUCUUCUUUUAGGUCCGUAGAUGCAGUCCUCUUUGAGCUUUUAAGAUGACAACAAGAGGACAAUCUCUGAUUCCUAAUUGUUGGCAUUGGUUUUGGAGGUUGCAAUUUCUGAAAUUAAUAAGGUUUGCUAAGGCAUAACAAUGUUUGUUUGUUUUUCUCUGGUCCUGGUGGUUGCCAGAGGGCUCCCACGUAGACUUGGUCCUCCAGACAUUCAGUUCUUACGUGGUUCCUGCUCCGUGAAGCACUGCUCAUCCGCUUCCCCUAGCUGCACCGUUCAGCAAAGCUCAUUUUCACUGGUGUUGGGUUCUACAGCUUUGGGCUUAACUGUCUUCUGCUGAAUAGAGCUGAAUCUAAUUGUCUCAAGAUUAAUUUUGACUCGGAGCUUGCACCUAAGAAGCUUACCAGUAAUUCCCUUUUGACUGAGCCUCGGUGGUAUUUUUCCCUGGAAAGAGCUGAGCUAGAGACAAACUUCCCGCGGGGAGGGACCUGGUGGCGUGUCUGCUGUGCAGGUCAAGGUCUCGCGCUUCUCCCUAGGGUUUGAAGGUAGCUCUCUCUAUAACAGAGCCUCUGUGUCUGCUCUGUAGUCGUCAGCAGAUGCUAGGUUGCAGGCAGAAUUACUUUCCCCACUGAGUGGAGUACCUAUUCCCAUUGGGCUGAGAUAGCCUGAGGACGUGGUUCAGAGCGAGCAGGGCUCCCCAGGGUUGGGGCCGGGCGUCCCGUGGGAUGGGCAGGGCUGUGCGGAGCUGCAGGGACCCAGGCAGGAGCAGGGCAGCCGGGGGCUCUGGUCAUGCAGAUGCUCCUGCAGCCCCUCGGGUUGUCCGCCUGUGUCAGAGAAGGAGCAAAACAUUUAUUUUCUUGGAAGAAACGCCAGUUCCAAACCAGAAGGAUUUCUUUGCUUAAAGACAGCGCUUCUCAAUGAACUCGAAACCGUUUUUGUCUGCAGGUUUUUUCCUUUCUUCUCUCAGGAGCAUUUCAGCAGACGAUUUACAAUGUCCUUUCUGGACAAAACCAACUGUUACAUACGUAUUUAUUUGUAUGUGUAUCUCCAAAGAGCUAGCAGUGGUCAUACUGAAGGUGUUUGGUUGGUGCUUGGUUCAAACCAAACUCCGGCAGGAGGACUGGAAGGGGAUUGUACUCUUUCACAUGCCAUUGCACGCCAUCCCCUUGUGUUCUGGAUUUUCCAUGUGAGCUGUGAGGUAUUGUAGCAUAAGAUCCACGAACAGCUGGGAUUCCUGUUGUGUCUCAGAAGUGACAGCGCAACUAAAGUACGCUCUCUUAUAUAAUGGCUUUGUUAGAAACGAGUGACCCACAUUCUUGAGCUGUUCCCCUUCAGGUGGCUGGCUGGCCACUCACAGCUCAUCAUCCCGUGGUCUUUGGUUGCCAGUCUUUGGUCUUCCUCUUGAGAGACUUGCAUUGCGGAGUGUUUCUUCAGUGCUUCAAACACAGGGAUGUUCAUCCGUGCCAUUUAUUAGCGUGUUUAAAAGGAAGCCGGGCCUGGAAGGGAGGUUUAGGAUUAGCAGGUCCAGGUGCCUGGUGCUGCUUACAUUGCCAUACUCUUGUCUUACAGUUUGUAGGAUUUUUGAUCCAAAAGUUGUCUUGGAAUAGCAUUCCAGCAUCUCAGUCCUGAUGGCCAGAAGUCUUAUUGUAAUGUUUUGACAAAAUCUCAACGUGGCCAGUUUACAUUCGCUGGUGCCUGUUCCAGCGCUUUGAUGGCAUGUUCCGUCUCCAUCUGUCCCCUCCCAGGGAGCCCUGCAGGAACGUGCCUCUUGGGUGGGCUCUGUGCAGGCUGGGUUGGGUGCCGGGGGUCUGGGUAUUGGGGCAGCUGCAGUCUCUGCAGGUAAGAAGGGGUGAAGGGGAGGUUUCCAUGCUUUGAAAGGAGAUGGUUGGAGGCUGGUGUGCCGUGCCCUUCCUGCUUUUAUUCUGUAGAAGCUCCGGGUUCUGCACUUUUUUUUGGGUGGGGGGGGAAAAUCCUCCUUUGCAGCUUGUGGAUGAAAUACUUCGGCUUUCCCUUAGGUUGUAGAAGUGAGGUGGGGCUCCUUUGUGGAAAUUCCUAAUGCAUAUACAUACAUACGUACACGUGCAUCUGCGUAGCAGGUUUUUGCUGCUUGUUUUCAAAACCUUGUUGCUAAAAUAAGUUAACUUGCUUGCCUAACCUGUCGAUUUGUGGGGCUUUAAGAGGACUGUAUAUGCAGGAGAUUAAAAUCCAUUUCAUUAUUACGACUAAAACAGGUAAAUCCUGUCUCCCGAUUGGAGCUGAAAUCCUGACCCCGGAUGCAGCCGCGCUGCCCCAGCGCUUGGUAGUGAGGACACGGAGUCACGCGCUGUGUGUCUGAGGGUGUGUGAAUGGUGGCAUAAGCAGCUCUGCUGCUGUUAAACCUUCUUUAUUGCUCAGGGUCAAGAUGUAAUCUAUACGGGAUUUUUCUUAAACUCUCGUCCAAAUCCGAAGGAUUUCCACUCAAGGAAAGGUCCCGUUGGCUUUGCGAGGAGAAGGGAUCACGCCCAUUUGCUGCGUGUUGUCAGUCUGGGUUCUGCUUGUACACAAUGGCUUGGGUUGGCUGCAGCGUUACUAAAUUCGGUGGAUCCAUGCCAGACUCAUGCAACUAAAAAACUUUUUUGCAUUUUGUCACAGAACCCGAUAAGUAGUACCAUGGAAUCGAAAGUGCGCACAAUGUGCAAAGUCAAACUAUAUUUAAAGUGCCUUAUUCGCAGAGGAACACCUCUAACCUUUCAAUAUGUGAAUAAGAUGUCAACCUAGUUCUGGAGCUCCACCAGGUUUUGACAUGAUAAUGCAUUUGCAGUCACUUACAGGCUUGCAUUGGUGAAGUGCAAUAAUUUGCCUAUGUUUAUUUAAAUAGUGCAAACUUUGAAUGUUAUCACCUUUUUAUUUAAGAGAAAAGAGACUCUGAGGAUGACAUCACCAGAGCAUCAUGCCUGGCUGGUUGCAUGGUGAGGAGGGAUGUAUUUUAAGGUGCUCCCUGCUUCUUCCCUCCUUUUCGAAAUUGAAUUGCAGUCUCUCUGAAAUGAAGAUACAGUUUUUUUUUUCCCCUUAAACUGAAAUUUCCGUAUCCGUGUCUUAUAUUUACGGUUAUAGCUUUCCUUGCUAUAUAAUUAGUCAUCUGAGUAAGCGAUCUGAAUUUCACACGAUGUUAUCUGUGAGUUGGAAGAGGAUGAAUUUCAUCGCUGAAAACCUGGCUGUUGAUUUAGCCAGCUGAAAGAAAGGUGGGAUAAAGGUGAUUAAAACCGCUUUUGAUUUGCCAUCUUAAAUAAUGAGUGGUUUUUGGUCACUGGAACGAGCAGGGGAAUUGGUGCUGAGAAGUGUACAUUUUAAUUUGAAAUUUCAGGAAGACUCCAUGGCAACUGUGAUAUGAAAGGAGCAGGGUCUUUCAUGAAUCCUUUGGUCUUUGGGUAAUCAGGCUUCGUUUGCUUGUUUGUUUUCCGACGUGUGUAAGUUAAAUGGAAAUAGGAAUUCUGUGCUGAGAGAGUCUUAAGUUCAUAAACACCAUGGCGUUCAUUUUCGUGGAAACAGGAACUUUGUACAGAGAUGGUUUUGUAAGCCAGAGAUUAAAAGAUGGGAAUGAUAAAAAAAAAAAUAAUAAAAAUAAGGUAACAGUAAUUAAGAACAUAGAAAAUUGUGGAAAUGUAUUUUCUCUAGGGGAUCAAAAGCAAGUGGAGUGGUGUGGUGUGGUGUGGAAAUAAUGUUAAUAGCGACAGCAGAUAAACCCGCUGUUUUUUCAAGAUUUUGCUUUCUAGUCCAGCCAUUUUAGCACCGAGUUAUUAGCGUUCAUUUAAGUACGAACACAGGGAACAACUUCAGCAGUUUGCCUGUCGCAGAAGUUGAUAUCUAGCGAGAAAUAUCACUGAUGGAAAACCAGAAAGACUAAAUAGAUAUAUUUGGCCUCACAGGCAGUCCAUUAAUUUGCUCAAAUUAAAUAUUAUCUUUAAAUAUUGAAAGGUUAAAUGUACACUGAUAAUGGAUUUAGACAGCCAUUAAGUCAUAAUUGCUCUCUAAUGUAGUUAGCAAAAGACAUUAUUUGAUAUAACUUAUUGAAAAGGGACUAAAAGCACCAGGAUUUUUUUUCGCUUGCCCUUUUUCAUAUAAAUGUCCAAGAUUAAAUCCCAUUUUCAUUUAAGGCUGUGGGACCCAGCAGGGUCCCGGCGCUCAGUGGGAGUGGGGCUGUGCCUCGCAGCGCAGCCGUGCCCGCUCCUCCGUAGCGGUGUGGGGCUGUGGGGGCUCCUCCUGCCCCACACCUGGGGGUCUCGGUGGGCCCGGCAUCCCGCUGGGUCUGUGCUGGCUGCUGGGGGCUCCUGGAGCUGCUCCGUCUCCAGCUGCAGCCAGGUGCAGGGAGCCAGGCCUGGGUUACAGGUGCGCUGAGGCCACCAAGUCUUUAUUUUGGUUGAAAGAAAAAUAUUUUUAAACUUUCAUAAUAUUUAUCUGCAGACAGAGGUUCCUAUCACUUCCCAAACAGACCGGGCCCUCUGAGCUCUCCCAGCCACGGUGGGUGCUCGCUGCGGGCCGCGCCUGAUGGGAGCUCUGUGGGGGUUCAUGGAGGCCGGGUCCUCCCGCAGGUCAGCCACGGCCCCACGGCCGUGGGGCUCCUGGAGGGAUGUCCCCGUGGGGGCUGUGGGUCCCAAGGUGCUGUGGGGCUGCAAGUGCGCCUGGGUGAGUUGUGCCGGGGGGCUCAGCUCUGGGCUGGGGCCUUCUGCCUUUGUUUUAUUAAUGGACAAAUUGCCGUGGCGGCUCUCCUUGCACCAUCUGUAAUUUUUUCUCUUUCCUUCAAAGCGGCGCUCGUCUGCAGCGCAGGGGCUGUCACACGCAGCACGGAGGUGGUAAUUCCUGGAUUAAUUCGUAGCGUUGUGGCAGUCCGUGGCUGUGGACUUGGAGCUCAGGUCUUGCAGGACUUUCUUCUGUGUCAGGAAGAGCAAGAUAAAUGUCUGUGUUUUCUUGGAUGGUGACUUUUGUUUCAAGCCUGGGAGGGACUUAGUCCUAAGUGGAUGUUAUCCUGCAAAUGGGUUGUUUUUCUUCUCCAGCGAUGCUUAAUGAGAUAAUAUCAGGUGGAAGACUUGCUUAAAGUGAAGGAAAAUGACGUUCAGGAUUAUAGUGGAAGUAAAAGAGAAAGUCUCGAGAACGUUGUACUGGUUAUUUUUUGCUUUUUUUCCAUGCAGUUCAUGCAAUGUAGAGAGUGAAUCAGGUAUUUUUUAGAUUUUUUUUCCUGUUCUGAAUUUCAGGAGGUUAAAAAAAAAAAAAAAUUAAAAAUUACCAUAGAAUGAUUCACAGUGAAAAACUGUGAGAGGUCUGAAUUAAUUACAAAUCACGAGAGGGUGGUACUGAGGAAGAGAGGUUUUAUUUUUAACAGGCUUCUUUCCGAAGUCACGGUGCUGUGUGCAGCCGUGGGGACAAUGCUUGACCCUUCCCCUUUGGCUCAGCGUGGCAGUAGGGACACGGUGACACUGUGGACAGAAGGGACCCCGCUAGCGGGCUAAGGGUUUACCUAUAAUACUUGCCUAAAAAUGCUGAAAAGCUUAAUUGAGUCUUUUGCUCUGUGAUUUAAAUCAUGGGUUUGAGCUGCUGUGAAGUACCGUUGGCUGUCUCUUGUGCUGUGGCGCAUGCGAGCAAAUAGUUUGCGUUUCUUACAAAUUAAACACUGAAACAAACUGUCCUAAUGCAGCUGGCAGUUCCUUCAAACUACACUGGUUUAGGGCACUCUUUUUUGUAGGAGGGAGGAGUUUUUGGGAAAUGGCGUGUUUUGUAAGAGGCCAAGGUAUGGCGAGGUGAUGCCCUGCGUGGGCUGCGUUCUUCCUUCUGCUUCAGCAAAGCAGUGAGGCGAGGGUGCUCCCAGGAAGGAUGCACGACGUAAAACUCAUUAGCUGGAAUGGAGGAAUGCUUGAAAUGCAUUUUGAAAAUGAACUCUGUGUGGUUAGUUCUGCCCCGUACGUCAGUUCUUGCAGCAUUUGACAGGUUUUGGAAUGCUCAGGGAAUGUUACUUCUGUUACUUAAAAUCAACCUGACUGUGAGUGGAAGGAAAUUAACUGUCCUGUCUGCAGGGCGUGAAGCAAACAACAGCGGGCAAGAGCAAUUGUAAGGAGGUUACAUUUCUGUAGAGAGAACAUUAGGUUGAUUUGUUUUUUUUCAGUGCAGAGCUCUCACUCUUUGUCAACGUAGCUCUUUGAUGCUAUUGUGCCGUUCUCCAUCCAGGCUAGGCUGUGAGCAUCCCUUAGAACAAGUUACUGCUCCUCUGCUGCAUGGCGUUUCUCAUCACUACUGAACGUCCAAGGUCCUUUUCAGAGCAGUGUGAGUAGCUGGACACGUGUGCGUGCCCCUGGCCAGCUCUGCUCAUCUGGAGGGGCAGAGACCUGGAGCAGGACAAGGAGUGCGAAGGAAAUCCUCUUCUUCCUUCGCGUGAAGUUUGUCAGCGUUGCUGUUAUCUUUGUUUUUUUUUCUUCAAAACGUUCGGACAAAAGUAACCAGGAAGCAAGAAUACUGUUGUUUUUCUGUCUUUGUCUGAGAAGAGUCUUGUUUGCUAUGUUUUGUCAUUGUUUGCUUCCCUCCAGCCCCAUUCUGGACAGAAUUUCCCAGGAAUCAAAGUUGGGUUGUUUUUAGAGUAGACCGAGAAAAAUAUUCCUGAGAUUUGCUGCUUUGAUUGAAGAGAUUUAUUGUUGUUAAAAUGCAAAAUAAAAGUGUUGACGAGUUGGAUGCAAGUGAAAUCUAGACUUUAUUUAUUUGAAAAAUCCUAAUGGUAACGUGGUCUAAUCCUGAGCUGCAACCCCACAGCGACUGAGCGAGCCCGGAAGGAAGAGAAGGAGCCCUCCCCAGGAGCUGCAGAGUGCGGUGCAGAACCAUGGGGAGCAGAUGGGUGGGCAGAUCGGGACGCUCGGAAGAGCAGAGGGCCAGAGUUGCUCAGCACAGCAAUGAGUCGGUGGGGGGAAGGAGGACAGGGGGCUGCGAGGGUGCAGGAGCUUAGCAGUGCUUGGGGGGGAUUUGGGGUUGUGGGAGGGGAGAAAGAGUGUUUGGGGUCAGCGUAGGGGCUGGUGUUGGGCGGUGAGGAGUGGUGCAAACUGGGGAAAAAGACAGUGGAAUCCUAAAAUGGCUUGAGUGGCCUGGAUAUCAUGGAAGUGCAUGGAGGGGAAGCAGAGGAUGGGCAGGGAGGUGGGAGGAGCAGUGUGCCUGGCCUGAAGCUGUGGGUGGGUGGGUUUGGGGAGUAAGGAAUGAUGAACUGUGGCUUUGGGUGGGGAAGGGACUGACUGGGGACAUGGAUGAAGGUCAGGUGAACGACGUGCCCAGAAGUGGAUAGUUAUUGCAUUGUCAAAUGGAGACAAGGCCAUGGUCUGGCUUCAUGGAUUGAUGAGGAGGAGGGGAAAAAAAA